rnacentral:rRNA from 1 species
AUUGAACGCUGGCGGCAUGCCUUACACAUGCAAGUCGAACGGUAACAGGUCUUCGGAUGCUGACGAGUGGCGAACGGGUGAGUAAUACAUCGGAACGUGCCUAGUAGUGGGGGAUAACUACUCGAAAGAGUGGCUAAUACCGCAUGAGAUCUACGGAUGAAAGCAGGGGAUCGCGAGACCUUGUGCUACUAGAGCGGCCGAUGGCAGAUUAGGUAGUUGGUGGGAUAAGAGCUUACCAAGCCGACGAUCUGUAGCUGGUCUGAGAGGACAAUCAGCCACACUGGGACUGAGACACGGCCCAGACUCCUACGGGAGUCAGCAGUGGGGAAUUUUGGACAAUGGGCGCAAGCCUGAUCCAGCAAUGCCGCGUGCAGGAUGAAGGCCUUCGGGUUGUAAACUGCUUUUGUACGGAACGAAAAGCCCUGGGUUAAUACCCUGGGGUCAUGACGGUACCGUAAGAAUAAGCACCGGCUAACUACGUGCCAGCAGCCGCCGUAAGAC